GCACCUGGCCGGCCGGGACUUCGGGCCGGCCCGGUCCGCGGCCCGGCAGGCCCUCGCGUUCGACCCGCGGUCGGUGCCC
rnacentral:tRNA from 1 species